GAUGAACGCUAGCUACAGGCUUAACACAUGCAAGUCGAGGGGCAGCAUGAAAGUUUGCUUGCAAACUUUUGAUGGCGACCGGCGCACGGGUGAGUAACACGUAUCCAACCUGCCUCAUACUCGGGGAUAGCCUUUCGAAAGAAAGAUUAAUACAAGAUGGCAUCAUGAGUCCGCAUGUUCACAUGAUUAAAGGUGUUCCGGUAGACGAUGGGGAUGCGUUCCAUUAGAUAGUAGGCGGGGUAACGGCCCACCUAGUCUUCGAUGGAUAGGGGUUCUGAGAGGAAGGUCCCCCACAUUGGAACUGAGACACGGUCCAA
rnacentral:rRNA from 1 species